UUUGCACCACCAGAGGGAGAACUCGAAUUAGACUGUAGACCAGACCAAAGCGGAUUAGACCGGAAUCUGUGUGGUUCAGUCCAGUGUUUGGAAACGAACGAAAUGGUCAAGUGGAAAGCGCAUCGAAAUUAAAAAGUGUCCUUUCUAAUAGAGCCUUUCUUCUGAAUUAUGACGUACGGCUGUUAAAAAUAUCCAUUUCGAGAUUGUUUAAACUUGACUGAAGUUGUAAACAAUGGAAGAAGCGCUUUGGAGCAAGAAAAUCGAAGACCCUCUUUCAUUGAUGAGUUUCAUCAUUCCACCGUCGAGGUUACUGUCUGCAGCCAUGUGGCAGGUGACUGAACAGAGACAGGUCCAGCACUAUGGGAUGCUGGAGGAGUUUGUAAACAUGGUGACCGAGACACUGCCAGAGCUUCUUGAUUACAAUCAAAGAACUCAGCUGAUAUUUGGCUUAAGAGCAAGGCGUCUUUUGGAGUUGUGUCGUGGUAAAUAUCAGGUUGACCUGGAAGACAUUCAGCAUCACCUGGACCGGAUCCAUGCUCCUCGUGUCGUCAGUACGAUCAAUGAGGUGGUUGAUGAAGACAUGGAGGAAUCUGAGGCCUGUUUCUUUGGCCUUGUUCGGACCCUUAUCAGCAACCCUGAAGAGAGAGAGAAUUUCUUCCAGAACAUUUUCCCAGAAGAAUACGGCCCCAAGUUUGACAAAAACCUGCAGACACUUAUGGAAGACUUCCUCUUGCGGUUUGAUCGAAUGAUGUCAGUCCCAGACCUUUCACAGACGGUCUCUUGGCUCAGGACCUGCCCGUCUAUUCUGGAGCAAUGCCUUUAUUCAGUUUCCGUCCCAAAGCAGAUGAAGACCCUGCUUGAACACCACAGAGCUAAAGGAAAUCUUCAGGACAAUGAGCAUGUUCACUCUGCGUAUAACAGCUGUACAGUUUCAUCUCAAUCUCUCCCUCCGCUGGUUCGAGUCGUCAUUUCCAGCGAUCACACAGAAUCUGGUGACCCGUCCGAAUCAGUAGCCGGUUUAGAUGGUCAAGACACUGAUGAAUGCCACACUUCAAAACCCUUGUCUGAUGCUGAUACACUCGGCUGGAUGUCUAAAAAGAGAAAAUUCAAAGUAGAGAUAGAGGAGAGAGAGGAUGAAGAGGAUGAUGAUGAUGAUGAUCAGAGCUGGCCAAACACAGGUCCUGGAUCUAGUAGAGAGAUUAACGGUUGCGUUGGUGAAGAGCUGAAUCAGACACACGCCAAAAAAAACUCAAAGAAGUCCUCUAAAAGGAAAAGAGACGAGUCCAGAGAGUUCACAUUUAUCGAUCAUAUGGGUGCAUACACAGAAGAGUCUUCCUUCCAGACCUCUGAUGCUUCAAAAGUCCCUUGGUCAGAGGAGGAGACGCUUUGCCUCAUUGACAUAUGGGGAAAAGACAGCGUCCAGCGGAGUCUAAAAGACUGCGCUCGCAACCGACACAUAUUCAACCUCAUCUCGAAGAAGAUGUUCGAGAGAGGCUUUACCAGAACGGCAGAGCAGUGUCACACCAGGAUAAAACGCUUGAAAAUGAGCUUCCGACAGUGCCAUGAAAACAUUGUGAAAGGAGAGAAAUCAGAAUGGAAGUUCUAUAAUGUUCUGGAGAAAAUUCUGUGCCGUAAAGAAUCUACAGAACAGGAAGACACUAUUACUGACAUCAGCGUUCCAGAAGAUUCCUCAGGACAGCAGGCAGAAGACACUGACUGGGAUGUUCUCGGUCAUGUCGGACUAGAGGGCACCAGGAAUAUCCCAUGGACAGACCAGGAGACGCAAACCCUCAUCAGGAUCUGGGGAGAGGACAAAACCCAGCGAGAGCUGAGAGGGGUUCUCCAGAACGGACACAUCUUUGCCAUGAUCUCAAAAAAGAUGGCCGCUCACGGUUACAUCCGGACAGCAGAGCAGUGUCAAAGUAGAGUGAAAAGACUGAAGCUGUGCUUCAAACAGUCUUACGAGAGUAAACACACUGAGGGCAAAGAACAUAUAGAAUUUAAAUUCUAUAAACAGAUGGAGAGAAUUAUGGCUAAUGAAGAGCCAUGCUCAACACAGAUCAAACAGGAGGACUCAACAGACAUUGAAUAUCAGGCGUACAAGUACCAGAAAAUAGAAACAGCAAUGAACUGCAUGGAGGAUAGAAAGAAGGUUGCCUGGUCUGAUGCCGAGACCGUGAUUCUCCUUCAGUUAUGGGGUGAUGAGCAAGUCCAGCAGAACCUUCAACGCUGCCCUCACAAUGGACACAUCUACUCGGAGAUCUCCGAGAAACUGAACGGUCACGGAUACCUGCGCUCCGCUGAGCAGUGCCACACCAGAAUCAAACGACUCAAGAUCAGCUACAGGCAGUGCAUGGACAGCUUGAGUUCACCUGAAGCAGAACGUGUCGAAUUCAAGUUCUAUGAUCUGAUGGAAGAUAUUUUUCGAAGGAAUGCUUCCUCCAAAGUGUCAGGAGAUAACGAAACCAACAAUGGCAUCAAAUCGGGAUCCCAGGACAUCUGCGGCAGUUUUAACCAGACAGCAUCCUGGUCAGACUCUGAAACUGUAGCUCUUAUAGACAUUUGGGUGGACGAUGAGGUGCAGGACGCCCUGAGAGGAUCUGACCAUAACAUCCAGGUGUUUACUGAUAUAGCAGAGAGAAUGAACAAUCAGGGAUUCCUAAAAACACCAGAGCAGUGCAGAUGGAAAAUCAAGAACCUGACAAAGAGUUUCCAACAGUCUUACGAAAGGAAAAAAUGUGGCAUAGAGAACGCAGAUUGCAAGUACUAUGAUAAACUGGAGCAGGUUCUGGGUGAUGAGGACUUUUCACUGUGUGUCUAUGAUGAUGAAGAUGAUAAAGAUGCAGAAUACCAGCAGGCAGCCAUGGUAGCUGUAUCUGAAUCCGGCAGGAAGAUGACCUGGUCGGACCGGGAGACACAGGCCUUGCUGGACAUUUGGGGUGAUGACCGUGUGCAGCACAGCCUCAUGUCCUGCCCGAAAAACAGGCACAUAUACAGAUAUAUUUCAAAGAGAAUGAUGGCACUGGGUUACAACCGAACAGGCGUGCAGUGCCACUCGCGUGUGAAAAGACUCAAGUCCCAGUUUUACUAUGAUGGCAAAGAGGAGUGUAAAUUCUAUGAUCAGCUGGAACAGAUUAUUUUAAAGGACAGAACAUCUGAAGGCCAGGACAUCAGUGAGCUGGAAUCCAUAACCGAUUCUGAUUCAGACUCUCUAGCACUCUCCAAACCUCUCACUGCGGACGGGACGAAGCUGGCAUGGGGUGACAGUGAGACACACACACUUAUAUCCAUCUGGGGGAGUGACGCCAUCCAGGAGAGACUGAAAGGCUGCAUCAAACGCAAACCUGUAUUUCAGCAGAUUGCACUGGCCAUGGCCGAGAAGGGCUACAGCAGAACAGACGAACAGUGUCGCUCCAGGAUCAAAAGACUGAAGGCCAGUUACCGCCAGUGCCUUGACAAUUACAGAAAUGAAGGAGAGCAGGUGGAGUGGAAGUUCUUCAAACAGCUAAAUAAAAUAUUUGAGAAGUACCCUCUAGAUGAUGCCGAAAGCACCAUGGCUCAGGAGCCAGAGGCAGUUGGGAGAAAAAAACACUAGCAGGUCUGCAAAUGCACAGAGCUCAAGUGAAUCUAAACUGUGAACAAGUCAAUUUAAAAUCUGACUACGCUACACUAGUCUGGAGGAGGAGAGACCCAUAUUCUCCUGGAUAUCUGGACUGAGGAUUAUAAACCACAUCUGACGGAGGUACUUUCUAUCAUGUGGACUGUGGAGGAUGGCAGAAGGACUCACACAAACCUUUAAUCAGCUGGAUUCCAAGCAUGGGACAUAACACUUUCACUAUCAAGCAACAGAAAUACAGAACCUUAUUUGUGCAUCAAAAUACAGCACCCUGGCACUGUAUUAUGUGCAUUCCUGUACAUUUGAAAGAAUUUGCAUAAUGGUGCUGUUGCCAUGUGGUCUCACAUUUUCACAGGGUCAAGUUUAACACUGAACUGAAUUUGUCUCAGCUGAUGGCGAUUUGCAUAGUAAGUUAAGAACGUGCAUUAGUCUAAUGAGAUCUAAUGAGUAAUAUGAUCCUUACAACCACGGAACUGAUACAAAUAACAGGAAAUUAGAAGAAAGAAGUAUGAAGUUAAAGUCUUUAAUUGAAAUGAAUAUUUCUUUUAGAGCAUAAUGGAAUAACUGGGAGGAAUUUAGUAAAUCUUUUUCUUCCUGGUGCAAAAUGAUUUCUCUGAUGAGUGCAUAUAGUCUUAAAAAAAACUACCGAUGUUGGAUUUAUAUUGUAUAUUUGUAUUAUAAAAGGAAACAAAUUAGUGCUACAUGGGUAAAAACACUGAAAAAAACUUCCAUUUUGUACAUUAGCUUUUCAAGUAUAUCAAAAUGUAAUAUAUACACAUUCUACAAAUGUAAGUUACUGUUACACAGGAUGAUGCCAAAGCUCACUGCUCCAAUCUCAAUCUCUUUUUAAGAGUAUCCCAUGUGUGGUAUUGGUAUGUGCCAAAUUAAAGAUGAAUUUCACAUCCAGUCAGAAUCGGUACAGGAAAUGUGUCUUCAAAAACACACUGCAUUAUUCAGUGAUGGUGGAAAAGUGGAGAAUAUGUUUUGUUACAGUGAGUUUAUCCAAUAUGCUUCUAAAUUUUAGAGGUGGACAACCAUAAAAACUAUAGUAUUUUCAGAGAUUUUAAUCUCAUUGUUUUUGUUCUUCGGUAUUUUACUGUGCAAUAAACAUAUUAUUUAUUGGUU